UGGAGAGUUUGAUCCUGGCUCAGAUUGAACGCUGGCGGCAGGCCUAACACAUGCAAGUCGAACGGUAACAGGAAGCAGCUUGCUGCUUUGCUGACGAGUGGCGGACGGGUGAGUAAUGUCUGGGAAACUGCCUGAUGGAGGGGGAUAACUACUGGAAACGGUAGCUAAUACCGCAUAACGUCGCAAGACCAAAGUGGGGGACCUUCGGGCCUCAUGCCAUCAGAUGUGCCCAGAUGGGAUUAGCUAGUAGGUGGGGUAACGGCUCACCUAGGCGACGAUCCCUAGCUGGUCUGAGAGGAUGACCAGCCACACUGGAACUGAGACACGGUCCAGACUCCUACGGGAGGCAGCAGUGGGGAAUAUUGCACAAUGGGCGCAAGCCUGAUGCAGCCAUGCCGCGUGUAUGAAGAAGGCCUUCGGGUUGUAAAGUACUUUCAGCGAGGAGGAAGGGGUUAAGGUUAAUAACCUUGGYCAUUGACGUUACUCGCAGAAGAAGCACCGGCUAACUCCGUGCCAGCAGCCGCGGUA
rnacentral:rRNA from 1 species